AAGUUAUCAAUAUUUUUUUCAAAAUUUUUAUCAAAAAAUGUUCAAAGAAAAUUUCAAAAUUAAGAUAUUUAUGUAUUUUUAUAUGACAUAUAGUUUAAUUUAAUGAUACAUAUAUUUAUAUAUCUUUUAUUUUUGAUACUUAUUAAAUAAGACUUUCAACUUAUAUUAUUUUUGGGGGAAUUUUACUUAUACACUUUUUAUGAUACCACUUUUCAACUUUACCAUCAAUCGAAAGGCAUUUUCAAAAAUACCACAUUCAUUAAUGUGUAAAAGACAAUAUUGCCCUUAACUUAUCUUCAACUCAUUUCUCUCUCUCUCGUGAAUCUCCGUUCGUCGUCUAUCGUCUCUGUUCAGAUCCGCUGUUUUCCGUUCAGAUCCGCCGUCUCCGUUCAGAUUCGCCGUCUCUGUCCUCCAGAUCCGCCGUCUCUGUCCUGAACCGACGUCUUCGUCCAGAUUCGUCGUCUUCGUCCAGAUCCACGAAGCAAUCGAGAUCGAGACUCAAAACUUCAAAUGUUGAAUCCUCAGCAAGAAUCACAACCUAUUGCAGAGUCUGUUUCUUUUAGCAGCGAUAAAAAGUAUGAUAUAACGCAAGUGAAGGCUCCACCUCAGCUGCAGAAAAAGAUGUGUUAAGUAACUCAAUCAACUAAAAGACAAUUUAGAAAGGCUUAUAAGACAGUUUAUAAAGUUUGUUAAAUAAUUUAUAAGGUUUAUAAAUUCUGCACAA